UACAGAGGGUGCGAGCGUUAAUCGGAAUUACUGGGCGUAAAGCGCACGUAGGUGGCGACGUAAGUCGGGUGUGAAAGCCCCGGGCUCAACCUGGGAACUGCAUUCGAGACUGCAUUGCUGGAGUACGGAAGAGGAAGGCGGAAUUCCCGGUGUAGCGGUGAAAUGCGUAGAUAUCGGGAGGAACAUCAGUGGCGAAGGCGGCCUUCUGGUCCAGUACUAACACUCAAGUGCGAAAGCGUGGGGAGCAAACAGG
rnacentral:rRNA from 1 species